CCACCUGCCAUAAGAUGAGCCCAAGUGGGAUUAGGUAGUUGGUGGGGUAAAGGCCUACCAAGCCGACGAUCUCUAGCUGGUCUGAGAGGAUGACCAGCCACACUGGAACUGAGACACGGUCCAGACUCCUACGGGAGGCAGCAGUGGGGAAUAUUGCACAAUGGGGGGAACCCUGAUGCAGCCAUGCCGCGUGAAUGAAGAAGGCCUUCGGGUUGUAAAGUUCUUUCGGUGAUGAGGAAGGGUGAUGUUUUAAUAGAGCAUUACAUUGACGUUAGUCACAGAAGAAGCACCGGCUAACUCCGUGCCAGCAGCCGCGGUAAUACGGAGGGUGCGAGCGUUAAUCGGAAUGACUGGGCGUAAAGGGCACGCAGGCGGUGACUUAAGUGAGAUGUGAAAGCCCCGAGCUUAACUUGGGAAUUGCAUUUCAUACUGGGU
rnacentral:rRNA from 1 species